rnacentral:rRNA from 1 species
AGAUUGAACGCUGGCGGCAGGCCUAACACAUGCAAGUCGAGCGGUAGAGAGGUGCUUGCACCUCUUGAGAGCGGCGGACGGGUGAGUAAUGCCUAGGAAUCUGCCUAGUGGUGGGGGAUAACGUUCGGAAACGGACGCUAAUACCGCAUACGUCCUACGGGAGAAAGCGGGGGACCUUCGGGCCUCGCGCCAUUAGAUGAGCCUAGGUCGGAUUAGCUAGUUGGUGAGGUAAUGGCUCACCAAGGCGACGAUCCGUAACUGGUCUGAGAGGAUGAUCAGUCACACUGGAACCGAGACACGGUCCAGACUCCGUACGGGAGGCAGCAGUGGGAAUAGUUGGACAAGUGGGCGAAAGCCUGGACUCCAGCCAUGCCGCGUGUGUGAAGAGGUCUUCGGAUUGUAAAGCUACUUUAAGUGGAAGAGGUUAGUAACCUAAUACGUUGACUAAUUGACUUACGACAGAA